UAUAGAGAGCUUGCUUUCUAGAGACCGGCGGAUGGGUGAGUAACGCGUAUGCAACCUACCUUUUACAGGGGAAUAGCCCGGAGAAAUUCGGAUUAAUGCUCCAUGGUUUAUAUGAAUGGCAUCGUUUAUAUAAUAAAGAUUUAUCGGUAAAAGAUGGGCAUGCGUAUCAUUAGCUAGUUGGUGUGGUAACGGCAUACCAAGGCUACGAUGAUUAGGGGUCCUGAGAGGGAGAUCCCCCACACUGGUACUGAGACACGGACCAGACUCCUACGGGAGGCAGCAGUGAGGAAUAUUGGUCAAUGGAGGCAACUCUGAACCAGCCAUGCCGCGUGCAGGAUGACGGUCCUAUGGAUUGUAAACUGCUUUUGUACGGGAAGAAAUGUAAUUACGUGUAAUUAUUUGACGGUACCGUAAGAAUAAGGAUCGGCUAACUCCGUGCCAGCAGCCGCGGUAAUACGGAGGAUCCGAGCGUUAUCCGGAAUUAUUGGGUUUAAAGGGUUCGUAGGCGGUUGAGUAAGUCAGUGGUGAAAUCUUAUAGCUUAACUAUAAAAUUGCCGUUGAUACUGCUUGACUUGAAUAGUAUGGAAGUAAUUAGAAUAUGUAGUGUAGCGGUGAAAUGCUUAGAUAUUACAUGGAAUACCAAUUGCGAAGGCAGAUUACUACGUACUUAUUGACGCUGAUGAACGAAAGCGUGGGUAGCGAACAGGAUUAGAUACCCUGGUAGUCCACGCCGUAAACGAUGGAUACUAGCUGUUCGGUUUUCGGACUGAGUGGCUAAGCGAAAGUGAUAAGUAUCCCACCUGGGGAGUACGUUCGCAAGAAUGAAACUCAAAGGAAUUGACGGGGGCCCGCACAAGCGGUGGAGCAUGUGGUUUAAUUCGAUGAUACGCGAGGAACCUUACCAAGGCUUAAAUGUAGAUUGACAGGUUUAGAGAUAGACUUUUCUUCGGACAAUUUACAAGGUGCUGCAUGGUUGUCGUCAGCUCGUGCCGUGAGGUGUCAGGUUAAGUCCUAUAACGAGCGCAACCCCUAUUGUUAGUUGCCAGCGGGUCAAGCCGGGAACUCUAACAAGACUGCCGGUGCAAACCGUGAGGAAGGUGGGGAUGACGUCAAAUCAUCACGGCCCUUACGUCUUGGGCUACACACGUGCUACAAUGGCCAGUACAGAAAGCAGCUACCAGGCAACUGGAUGCGAAUCUCAAAAACUGGUCUCAGUUCGGAUUGGAGUCUGCAACUCGACUCCAUGAAGCUGGAAUCGCUAGUAAUCGGAUAUCAGCCAUGAUCCGGUGAAUACGUUCCCGGGCCUUGUACACACCGCCCGUCAAGCCAUGGAAGCC
rnacentral:rRNA from 1 species